AUUGAACGCUGGCGGCAGGCCUAACACAUGCAAGUCGAGCGGAUGAGUGGAGCUUGCUCCAUGAUUCAGCGGCGGACGGGUGAGUAAUGCCUAGGAAUCUGCCUGGUAGUGGGGGACAACGUUUCGAAAGGAACGCUAAUACCGCAUACGUCCUACGGGAGAAAGCAGGGGACCUUCGGGCCUUGCGCUAUCAGAUGAGCCUAGGUCGGAUUAGCUAGUAGGUGAGGUAAUGGCUCACCUAGGCGACGAUCCGUAACUGGUCUGAGAGGAUGAUCAGUCACACUGGAACUGAGACACGGUCCAGACUCCUACGGGAGGCAGCAGUGGGGAAUAUUGGACAAUGGGCGAAAGCCUGAUCCAGCCAUGCCGCGUGUGUGAAGAAGGUCUUCGGAUUGUAAAGCACUUUAAGUUGGGAGGAAGGGCAGUAAGUUAAUACCUCGCUGUUUUGACGUUACCAACAGAAUAAGCACCGGCUAACUUCGUGCCAGCAGCCGCAGUAACAC
rnacentral:rRNA from 1 species